GUUACUAACGGACAGCGCCUGCCUCUGGGACCGCAGAUACAGUGAUGCUUCGGGAACGGUGCACCCUCUUGCCCGUUACCGACUAAUCCUGUCCGACUCGGCCCUUGAUGAUGUUCAUGGAGGACCAAGAUAUGAAUAUAAGUAGCUGCCGCUGUGGCUCUAGCUAAGGACCGCGCGAAGCGUGUUGGAGGGUGUGCUUCCAGCUCACCUCGAAGUUUAAAAAAACAACAACAGCAAAAAAACCAAAACAAAAAACUAUUCGCUGACUUGACGGUUAACCCUGACUUGACAGCAAGGGUAAAAUCGAUCUGAAGGAAAGAAUUGGUGCACGUUAAUUUGAACCAAAUCUCCUAGGAGCCAGGACUAAAGGAUCAGAGCUCACCAAAGGAAAUCACAACAGGGGAUACGAGUUCCUGAGAAGCUGCUGUAAAUACGCCGGUGUAUUUAAUGCACUUGGGGUCUGCAAGUUAGGUAACAUCCAGAGCUCCUUCCCAAAUGAAGGACCGUCGCACAGGUCUUCGUGGAUGACCUGAGACUACCAAAUCAACCAGCCUGGCUUUGGACUCAUGGGCAGGCAUAUUGUCACAGCUUCCAGAGUGCUGGGAUUAUAGGCAUGUGCCACCAUGCACAGCUCUGUAUUUUUUUUAUUUUUUAUUUUGAGAUGGGGGUCUCACUUUGUAACCCAGCUGAGUUGCAGCAAUUCUCCUGUCCUGGCGUCCAGAGUGCUGAGUUUUCAGGUGUCUAUGGCCACACCCAACUUACUUUCUGUAUCUUAGGAUGUUUUGAUAUUUCCCAAAGCUUUGAAGGCUUGGGGGAGGCUGAUGCUUUUCGGGUAGUCAUUGUUUGGGGCCACAAAGCGCUCUCUACCAGGGGCGUGGCCAUCCUGAACAAACCAAGCAAUCCUGAGUCUGUAUUCCCAACAACUUCUUAAUUGAAGUUUCAUACUCAAGCCAGCUUUUUUCUCCCCUAAUUGACCCAAUGCCAGAUAUCAGGCCACUGGCCACAACUCCUGUACCCAACCCCAUGGAACUAUUCCAAUUCGCCAAUGCUGAGCACCUUGCUGGACCCAGGUUUGCUUUUCCCUCAGAAAUGCCAGAAAAGGGACUUCCUCAGACUUCCCCCACAUUCUACUUCUUUGUUUUAAGAGCCCGGUGACUCUGCAACUUUCCACGUAGCCUACUUACCUUGAACGCGUGACUCUCCUGCAUCAGGCUCCUGAGUGCUGAGACUGCUCUCGCACAUCUGCAGAGUGAGCUUUCUCCCGCCAACCUGUGUCCUGCUGCUUCGUGCAGACUUGCUGCUUACCCCUGGCCCUGCCUAGCCACGGGGCACCGCCCUCUCUGGGUGGGAUCUGUGACUGUAGAACCAUCUUCCUUCCAAGUUCCCUUUACCAUCCCACCUUCAACAUCUGCAUCCUUAAUAAGUACAGGUGUCUAGGAAAGGGGUUGUGAGGACAUAGGACAGAUGAUAAGCCAAAUGUCUUAACUCACCUUGAGAAAUAGAUGAAAGAAACUCGGAGACUAUUGGGAAUUCUCCUCUUUUAGUGGAGAUCCUCUUGGUAGGGGUCUGUCAACAGACUGGACCACAGGAGUCAGGUCCUGGGAUGAUGACUUGGUCACACUCUGUUGCACCAAUAAGCCUCCUAGAAACAAAGAGGGGAGGGGUUGUCAUUAAGAAGGGAUACUAGGGGCCAGAAGGAUGGCUCAGUGGGUAUGCCCUGAUGACCCAAGUUCUAUCUCCAAAACUCACAUUUUAGAACAAGCUGUCCUCUGAUCUCCACAUGUGCACUGAGGCCUACAUGCCCACACACAUACAGGAAAUGAAUGUGAAAGAACAUUUAUAGGAGGGCAUUAGGACUGAGGAACAAGCACAGCUGGCGGAGCCCCGCCCUGGUAUGCGGGAAGCUUCUCCUGCCGAACCACGAACCACGUAGAGGGAGCUGGUAGCUCAGCCCUGUGUGCCUGCACACCCCCGUCAGGAGUUCUCUGGGGACAUAGUGAGUUCUUUGCUCUCUAUCUUGCAUGGCUCUCCAUUUCACAGAGACCAUAAAAUGCCAUUAAAGGCUCUCGCUCAGAA